AUAUCUCAAACCCUCUAUUCUUUCGAGAAUAGCUAGGGCUUUGGACUUGGGAUUAUUGCAGGCGUAAGUCUGCUAUCCUUAAAUGCAUUAGCUGGAUUACUCCCAUCGUACCAUCCGGUGUGAUAAUAUCUACAUCGCAAUGGAUUACGGCGAGCGAUUACCCCGUUCAUUCGGUGCUUGUAACCUCGAUAAAAGAUAAUCUGCUUCUAAUUGUCCAAUGGACAAUAUAAAUUCUUGACAU
rnacentral:misc_RNA from 1 species